AACGAACGCUGGCGGCAGGCUUAACACAUGCAAGUCGAGCGCCCCGCAAGGGGAGCGGCAGACGGGUGAGUAACGCGUGGGAAUCUACCCAUCUCUACGGAAUAACGCAUGGAAACGUGUGCUAAUACCGUAUACGUCCUUCGGGCGAAAGAUUUAUCGGAGAUGGAUGAGCCCGCGUUGGAUUAGCUAGUUGGUGGGGUAAAGGGCUACCAAGGCGACGAUCCAUAGCUGGUCUGAGAGGAUGAUCAGCCACAAUGGGACUGAGACACGGCCCAGACUCCGACGGGAGGCAGCAGUGGGGAAUAUUGGACAAUGGGCGCAAGCCUGAUCCAGCCAUGCCGCGUGAGUGAUGAAGGCCCUAGGGUUGUACAGCUCUUUCACCGGUGAAGAUAAUGACGGUAACCGGAGAAGAAGCCCCGGCUAACUUCGUGCCAGCCGCCGCCGUAAGAC
rnacentral:rRNA from 1 species